UACGGAGGGUGCGAGCGUUGUUCGGAAUUACUGGGCGUAAAGCGCGUGCAGGCGGCCGACUAAGUCAGGUGUGAAAGCCCGGGGCUCACCUCCGGAAGUGCGCUUGAAACUGGUCGGCUAGAGUACGGGAGAGGGAAGCGGAAUUCCUGGUGUAGCGGUGAAAUGCGUAGAUAUCUGGAGGAACACCGGUGGCGAAGGCGGCAUUCUGGACCGACAUUGACGCUGAGGAGCGAAAGCCAGGGGAGCAAACGGG
rnacentral:rRNA from 1 species